rnacentral:rRNA from 1 species
GUUCUGUGACGGCGUACCUUUUGUAUAAUGGGUCAGCGACUUAUGUUCAGUGGCGAGGUUAACCGUUUAGGGGAGCCGUAGGGAAACCGAGUCUGAAUAGGGCGAAUUAGUCGCUGGGCAUAGACCCGAAACCGGGCGAUCUAUCCAUGAGCAGGUUGAAGGUUGAGUAACAUCAACUGGAGGACCGAACCCACUGUCGUUGAAAAGCCAGGGGAUGACUUGUGGAUCGGAGUGAAAGGCUAAUCAAGCCCGGAGAUAGCUGGUUCUCCCCGAAAGCUAUUUAGGUAGCGCCUCGGACGAAUACCACAGGGGGUAGAGCACUGUUUCGGCUAGGGGGUCAUCCCGACUUACCAACCCGAUGCAAACUCCGAAUACCU